CGUGUAGGCGGUCGGGUAAGUGGAAUGUGAAAUGCCCCGGCUCACCCGGGGACCGGCAUCCCAAACUGCCUGGCUUGAGUAUGGGAGAGGAUGGAGGAAUUCCUGGUGUAGCGGUGAAAUGCGUAGAUAUCAGGAGGAACACCGGUGGCGAAGGCGUCCAUCUGGCCCAAUACUGACGCUGAGGCGCGAAAGCUAGGGGAGCAAACG
rnacentral:rRNA from 1 species